UGGGGAAUAUUGCGCAAUGGACGAAAGUCUGACGCAGCGACGCCGCGUGAGGGAUGAAGGUCCUCGGAUCGUAAACCUCUGUCGGAAGGGAAGAAAGCGCAUGGCGCCAAUCAGUCAUGCGUUGACGGUACCUUCAAAGGAAGCGCCGGCCAACUCCGUGCCAGCAGCCGCGGUAAUACGGAGGGCGCAAGCGUUAAUCGGAAUUACUGGGCGUAAAGCGCGCGUAGGCUGUUGUGUAAGUCAGGGGUGAAAUCCCACGGCUUAACCGUGGAACUGCCUUUGAUACUGCGCGACUUGAAUCCGGGAGAGGGUGGCGGAAUUCCAGGUGUAGGAGUGAAAUCCGUAGAUAUCUGGAGGAACACCAGUGGCGAAGGCGGCCACCUGGACCGGUAUUGACGCUGAGGUGCGAAAGCGUGGGGAGCAAACAGG
rnacentral:rRNA from 1 species